rnacentral:piRNA from 1 species
UGAUUAGCACAGUAAUUGUACCCACAG